rnacentral:tRNA from 2 species
GACUUCUUAGCUCAGUGGUAGAGCGUGAGAUUCCAGCUUGUUCCUGGAACUUCCUCAAGGUCAUCCGUUCAAUCCGGGUAGAGGUCA